CCCCGCUGACGAGCGGCGGACGGGUGAGUAAUGCAUAGGAAACUGCCCAGUAGUGGGGGAUAGCCCGGGGAAACCCGGAUUAAUACCGCAUACGCCCUUCGGGGGAAAGCAGGGGAUCUUCGGACCUUGCGCUAUUGGAUGUGCCUAUGUCGGAUUAGCUAGUUGGUGGGGUAAGAGCCUACCAAGGCGACGAUCCGUAGCUGGUCUGAGAGGAUGAUCAGCCACAUCGGGACUGAGACACGGCCCGAACUCCUACGGGAGGCAGCAGUGGGGAAUAUUGGACAAUGGGGGCAACCCUGAUCCAGCCAUGCCGCGUGUGUGAAGAAGGCUUUCGGGUUGUAAAGCACUUUCAGUGAGGAGGAAAACCUUAAGUUUAAUACGCUUGAGGCUUGACGUUACUCACAGAAGAAGCACCGGCUAACUCCGUGCCAGCAGCCGCGGUAAUACGGAGGGUGCAAGCGUUAAUCGGAAUUACUGGGCGUAAAGCGCGCGUAGGUGGUUUGAUAAGCGAGAUGUGAAAGCCCCGGGCUCAACCUGGGAACGGCAUUUCGAACUGUCAGGCUAGAGUAUGGUAGAGGAGUGUGGAAU
rnacentral:rRNA from 1 species